UACGUAGGGUCCAAGCGUUAAUCGGAAUUACUGGGCGUAAAGCGUGCGCAGGCGGUUAUGCAAGACAGAUGUGAAAUCCCCGGGCUCAACCUGGGAACUGCAUUUGUGACUGCAUGACUAGAGUACGGCAGAGGGGGAUGGAAUUCCGCGUGUAGCAGUGAAAUGCGUAGAUAUGCGGAGGAACACCGAUGGCGAAGGCAAUCCCCUGGGCCUGUACUGACGCUCAUGCACGAAAGCGUGGGGAGCAAACAGG
rnacentral:rRNA from 1 species